rnacentral:hammerhead_ribozyme from 15 species
AACUGGUCGAGAGCUGAUGUCGCUCUUACUGACGAGGUCAUAGUAGGCCGAAACCAGUU